rnacentral:lncRNA from 1 species
GAAGACCAUGGAGCGGCAGCAUCCGGCGGCGCCCUUGCUCCCCGUCCUCCUCCUCCUCGCUCUGCUCUCGCCGGCCGCCCGCGGCUCGGAGUCGCCGCAGUACGCGACGGUGCACGUGGAGUCGGACUUCGAGGUGCGGCACUACCGCGACACCGUUUGGAUGUCCGCCCCCUCCGACGACAUCUCUUUCCACGUCGCCACCAAGCUCGGCUUCCACAGGUGAUACGCUUCUCGCCGCCCCCACGCCCCCUCGACCUUGCUUGGAUCGUUACGUAAUCGCCUGGUUGACUGAUCGAUUGAUUCCUGUAUGCACGCCGUCCUCUCGGUCCGCAGUCUGUCCAGAUGCAAUCCGAGAAUCCUUCGAUUUAGAGGGUGUCGAUUUGUACUCCUCGUGUUCUUUUUAAUUUUGUGAUUCCAUCCUUCGAUUUGUUCCGUUGGCGCGUCGAUUCUUGCGUAGGGUUGGGGAAUUGGGUAAGAAAUGGAUGUCUGGGAAGAAACAGAUGCGCAAGUUAGGGGGUCGCUGUCCCGUUUACCUUUCACCAGGAUGCUAGUACAUCCUCUCAGCCGAGACAUGGGAGUUGAGAAGCAUGUCAUCCUGAUAGAGAGUGUUGCUGUGUACCAUUCUACAAGUUGUCAGGAGAAUCUGUGGCAAGGAAAUUUUGGAUCAGCCACUACUCUACGAGAAUGAUCGAACAUCCGUUGUGAAUCACCUCGAGUAUAGACAAGAGUUAACCAUUCUUGUUGCAAAAUUAAACAAACAUAAUCCAUUUCUGACAUGAUACAAGAUAUGUUAGUACAUCUAUAUAGUCUGACUUUGCCGCUCUGGUUUAUGGAACAGACCACACUCCAAAAUAACUAGGCUACCGAAUUAUGAUAGGUCCGAACAAAUAUUUUAAAUUUACUGCUACCCAUCCAGGGCUGUAGUUUGCAUCAAUACGAACAAUUCAGUGAUUCUGCAAUGCCCUCUUUCAUUUAGCCAUACGUUAGAGGCUUUUCAUAAUUCUAGGAACUGAUAUGAAGAUCUUUGCCUCCAUGUGCGAAUAAUUAUUGAUGUAUAACGGGUCUUUUUAUUUGUGAAAGAGAUUGAUAACUCAAAAGGCCCCCGGCAAUUGGCUCGAUCACUAGUAUUGUUUUCUUGCAAAAGUUCAACCGAUGAGAUAUAGUAUCAACUUUGUUAGCUCGUGAAAUAUAAAAUUUCAUUGCAUGAGGUAGUUAUUCACCAGCGGCCCAGCGAUCUUUCCCCCUUUAUCUGUCUUUCUCUUUUUUUUGGCUUGAUGAUGGCCAGUUGCAUAUACCGUGCAGCGUUUACACCAUCUUCAUGUAAAUGACUUCGGUCAUCCAGGCAACUGCCUGUUUUGAAUGCAUAAGGUAGAUAACGAUCUACCUUCUUAAUUAAAAAAAAAACUUAAUGACAGCAUUACAACCUGCAAGCUAUUUUUUACUAAUUGAGGUUUCUUAACAGGGUCCCUCUUACGUCUUACCUCCUCAGGGAAGUUAUUUUAAUUUCCAGCUCUUGAGGUAGUAUGCGGGUGCACAUUCAGUUACAUGAAUCAAGUAUAUUCUCCAUAAUUUGCUCUCCAUCGCCCCAUUCUGAAAGUUUCCUGUAUGAUUAAUCUACGUACCGGGUCCAAACCCUAUUAUCAUAUUCAGUGGCUCUGAACUUUUAGUGUUGUCACUGAUUUCUGCCAGGUUGUUCCAAUACCUGAUGGGCGCAAACCUCAACUCCUCCAGGAUCAGAAUGACGACCCCUAUCCUAACAAGCAUCGUCCCAGGCGCGGGGCCUCUGCACUCUUCGGCCUACUUUGUCCGGCUCUAUUUACCAGUAGAGUUCCAAGCUUCCCCUCCUGUCCCUCUCCCCGAACUGAACUUACAUCCAGAUAGGUGGCCAGGCCACUGCGUCGCCGUCAGGAGCUUCUCAGGCUACGCACGCGACCACAAUGUCGUCGAGGAAGCUGAGAAACUCGCCGUGAGCUUGAGCCGCUCACCGUGGGGGAACUCCACAAACCACCCUAGCAAGAGCGCCUACUCGAUCGCACAGUACAACAGCCCAUUCCGCAUCAUCGGCCGUGUCAACGAGGUGUGGUUCAACGUCGACUGCAGAUCUGCUGGUGUGGAGGCUUAUUAAAAAUGCUCCAUGCUAUGCCAUCACCAUAAAACCAAGUGAAAAUGCGGUACCGUGUAAGCUUGUAUAUAUGUGACCAUUGGUUAUCUGUAUGCCUGUGAUGAUGAAGUGACACAAUGGAUGUACCAUAUGCUCCAUGUUGCGUGCUCGACUCAGAAUGAUCAACGUAACUCAGCUAUUGUGGACCGAAUGCAAAAUAACUAGUAAUGCCACCGCAAAUUUUAGAUAUCUUCCAGAAAAGUUAUAUUACAUGAGUCCUGAUAAGGAGACGCAGCUUGACUCGAACCUGCGCAGCCGGAUCUAGCGCCGCCCCUGCCAGACAACACUGCGGCUGGAUCCCACCUCCCCGGUCGCACCUAUAUGCUUCAUGUUUAAAAUAAAUAGUAAAUAUAAUUUUUUAAAUGAAUUUUUUUUAGAUGUUUUUGUUAGUGAAACAAGCAUGACAAUUUUCAUAAGAAACGGGAUUAAGUUGCUUCAUUGGUGAAAAAAUAAAUAAAAAUAAAUGCAACAUUUGUUGCUAGACUUUUUUUUUUUGCACAUAUCAAAAUACUUAAGCUUUCCUCCUAAAAAUUCACAGGUAGCAUUUUGGUUGGACAAUGAACAAGUCAAUUUUCUUCAAAUUAUUUAUCAUUUACAAAAAAACUUUGUUGGUACGCAGGACCAUAUACUCCCAAGAGCGUCAUCCCUAAAAUAUAGUAUUAGCAUGCUAUAGCCCGGCCGAGAUCGAGGUUGGGUGNNNNNNNNNNNNNNNNNNNNNNNNNNNNNNNNNNNNNNNNNNNNNNNNNNNNNNNNNNNNNNNNNNNNNNNNNNNNNNNNNNNNNNNNNNNNNNNNNNNNGGGAGAGGAUCCGAACAAAGCGGCCGAUCCUAAGGACAUGAUUUGGUAGAUUUUAUGUUCCUUGAUCCGAACCUAACGGCCGAACCUAAGGAUAUGAUUUGGUGGAUUUUAUGUUCCUUUAUCCGAACCAAACGGCCGAAUCUAAGGACAUGAUUUAGUGAAUUUCAUGUUCCUUGAUCCGAACCAAACGGCCGAACCUAAGGACAUGAUUUGGCGGAUUUUAUGUUCCUUGAUCCGAACCAAGCGGCCGAACAUAAGGACAUGAUUUAGUGAAUUUUAUGUUCCUUUAUCCGAACCAAGCGGCCGAACCUAAGGACAUGAUUUAGUGAAUUUUAUGUUCCUUGAUCCGAACCAAACGGCCGAACCUAAGGACGUGAUUUGGUGGAUAUUAUGUUCCUUGAUCCGAACCAAGCGGCCGAACCGAAGGACAUGAUUUGGUGGAUUUUAUGUUCCUUGAUCCGAACCAAGCGGCCGAACCUAAGGACAUGAUUUCAUAUGUGAGAAGAGAGAGUUCCUUGAUUUGAACCAAGCGGUCGAAAAUAAGGACAAUAUUUCAUAUGUGAGAAGAGAGUAGCUCCUUGAUCCGAACCAAGCGGCCGAAACUAAGGAGAUGAGACCAUCAUCAUAUCUCACCUUCUCACCUGUGCAAGUAGAACGCUGGCCUCCCUGCUUCUUCGUCUUUGUGUGUGUACGUGUAUAUGCGCGUGUUGCUAAUAGUAGCAGGAGGAGAUGGAAGGAAGAGAUGAAUGGAUGCGAGAACAAAAAUGGAUCCACGAGCAAUCUACUGAUGUUUAUGGAAGUAAUGGAUGAAAAGCUUGCAGAUGGAUGGAUGAAUGCAAAGGCCAGCCGGGUUGAAUGAAUGAGCGAACCAAUCCAGAGCAGCCAAGGUGCCUGCUAUUUAUAGGGAAGGAAAGAUCGGAGUGAGGCUCUCGCUGGACGCGUGCUCACGAUCAAUCGUGGGACCGUGGGAAUCAUGGGAGGUCGUGGCAGCGUGAGCUACUUUUUCCUUUGUUUAUUAUAUUUCCCUAAUCACCAGCUAAUCCCACGGUAGUUUACCUAGCUAGCCCACUCCACACGUACGUACGAACCGGUGUAAGCUAAAUUACGUUCUCAUUCUAAUUAAUUAAUAUGUUGGCUUUGGCAUUGACCCAUUGCGUGAGUGGGCUGAUGGCUGGCUCUACAUGCACAUGUGCGUGUGUGUAAGCUGAUGGCUGGCUCUACAUGCACAUGUGCGUGUGUGUAAGUGAACCCAAAGCACAGUACAUGACCAUUUUGUUUAAAUAGGCUAAGACUAAUUAGUUGAAACGGAUCACCUUAUUUCCUGUACGUGACUAAAUGCAUGCGAAUAUAUUAUUUCCAUGAAAAUUUAUUGCCAAUAUUUCAUGAAUAGCCUGAUGCGUUUUUUUAAUAUGCCGUCAUACGAGGCAUUUUUCUUUUAUAUGCAUGCACGUGACAUUUCAUUAACAUUGCCGACAUAACGUCUGCAAUUAGUUUGCCACGUAGUAUUUUAGCAAUAUCAAUAAUGCUUACGACCAAUUGAAUUUUUGUCGACAUUAGAAUUCUACCGUUAACGACAGUGGAUGUGUGUGCAAGCUAUGUAUCCUCUAUAAUUUCCUUAGGACAAGGAGUUGAUGAGUCUUUAUUUGUUUCGUCAUAUUUUACAAUUGUCGGUUUAAUGCAUGCAUUAUCGACAUUUAAAAAAUAUAUCACAUGCCUAUUUUUGUCUAAUUCGUAAUUUGAACGGUUGAUUACAUAUUCCUUUUAAUUUUUUAUUUUCAUUAUAAACAGAUUUUGGCCGUUUUGUAUUUAUUGUUUAUGUGGUUUAUACAUUUUAUUUUAUCUUGAUCAAAAUUCAUGUCAAUAGUCUCACGGCCCACAGUCCUUAAUUAACAUAAUUGAAAAACAGAUAAAAUGUGCCGCCCCACGCUGCUGCCGUGCCCGUCGCCGUCUUCAGGCGCCGCCGUUGUCGUCAUCGUCGUCAGUGAGGUCGAUGUACAGCGGCGUCGUCUAGAGGUGGGCCGGCGGCCCUUGGAAGGUUGGUGGCGCUGGCGGCACCUAGACAACCUCCCCGCGCGGCGACGACUUGUGCUCCGAUGAUCGCGAUGGCGUGGCGCACCAAGGCUCGGCCCCCACUCCCUGGGCCAUCUCCGUGGCCGUGCACGACCACGUCCAGCGCUGGCCCACCAGGUUUGGAUGGAACGUAGCCACUGGCUGCUCCUCGUGCACCUCCUCCUUCACCGUCAUGGGUUGUUCCUCCAUGGCGUCUGCCAUCUCGAGCUCCACGAUGGCCACGUCGCCGGCCACGGAGAGGGCCAUCAUCUCCUCCAGUCCCUCCAACUGGUGCUCAUCGUACGUGUUCAUGGAAUCUUCCAUGACACACUGGAUGAGCCGAGCCCUCUCCUCUUCGGUCAUGCGAGGAGGUGGUGGUGGCGACGGAGAGGGCGACGACGACGGGUUCGGCUUCAGGCCACGCACCCGCGUAUGCCCGCGCUCCUGUGGAGGGCUCGGACGGCGCGCCCGGCGCUCUACACGUGCCCGCCGCGGGCUGUUGUGUUGGCCGGGAAAAUAGGACGCGCGCCGCAUGUCGUGCUCAUCACGGAACCAAGUGUCCCACAGGGGGGAAUCCACGGCGUACCUGGGGUCGUAGUAGUGGUCGUCGGGGAGGCAACGUCGGCGGCGGUGGAUCUCGUCGCGGCGGGCAGGGCCGCUCAUUGGCCCCGGCGGGAUCGACACCCGAUCGACGGACAGGUGCCAGUUGUUCGACAAGUGGACGACGCUCCAGGGGAGCGGCAUCCUUGUCUCCCAAUAGCGGCGGCACACAUCCGCAUGGAUGUACUGCCGGGAGCGCGCCGGGGCGCACGGAGGGGCAACGGAGAAGGCUGUCGGAGCAUACCGUGGCCGAGGAUAAGAACGACGCGGCUCGCUUGCGGCGCGGCGGCCGGACGAGCACCCAGCCUCGUGGUCAUGCGAUCCCUUCCUCUGGCCGCCGGUGCUCCACCAACCCAUUGCUGCCGGCAGGCAGAGAGCUCGAGGGAGGGGGAGAAAGCUAGGGUUUGGUGUCGGUCCCGAGGAGGCACCAGGAGUGGAGUGGGCGCGUGCACUGUGUCGGUCCACGACUUCCCCAUAAAGAAGGACGGCAACCGCCCGCCUGAGUGGAUGACAGGCGGGGCCUACCGGGCGUGCGCAGUAAAUACGGGCGGUGGGAGGUAGGUGGCCGCCUGCCACGCGUCUCCGACGCGGACGAGAGGAGGGCUCGAGCGCGUCCGCUAGCUGUCCUCCACGACGUAAACCGGACACAUGUUUGCAUCGAAAAUGGGUCGUACCGGACACAAAACGGACAAGAUGGGUUCAAAACGGACGCGCGCUGGGCUGUGGAGUUUGUUCGUUUUGCCCUAAACGAAUAGGGGUGGACCGGAUGGGUCGUGCACUCGAGUUGGCCUAAAAAGACACGAGAAAUGGAGCAGAUUGUUGGUCCAAAAUAAACUCACAUGCUUCGGAAAUAGCAGCAGGGAUGAAGCUUAGUAGGACAACGCGACGGGCCCAACUUAAAGAUACAUACAGGUUUUUCUUGGAUUAAAGUCCCAAGCCAUUGAGUCAUUGUUUAGCAAGUGUGAGCCACACAUAGGUUACAUUUCCAAUCAAUAAAUGAAAUUAUUUAUUCCAUGUUCCCUCCCACCUUUCCCGCUAAAAAAAAAAAAGUUCCCUCCCACCAAAAAUAUAUUCCAUGUUCAGACCAAAUGCUAAAAGGGUCAAUCUACAGGACACGAAUUUUUAGCUCUAGGAGGAUAUGUUCCUUAAUGAAUAGUAAAAUUAAAAUAAAUAACAAAUACAUUUUAAAAAUUCUGAUAUUUUUUCAUAGAUGUUUAUAUUAACGUAGCAAGUGUGCUUUACAAUUUUCAUGUCAUAUAAGAUAGCCGUGUUUCAUUGGUGAAGAAAACUAAAUUAAGUAUAACAUUUGAUGUUUGACUUUUGCUACAUUUUGCUACUUCCUCUGAUCCAUAUUUUGUUAUAAAUCGACGACAAUUAAUAUACAUCGAUGGAAGUAUCAGAAUUACUGUAUCAUUUUAUCUUUCUUCAUAAAUUGUUUCCAUUUGUACACGAAAUGACUUGGACAAAUUGUUUAGAUGUUCCUUGAAGCUACACGGUGCUUGAAGAACUGUAUUUUAGAUAUACAAAAAUAGAAGAUAAAUUGUAUUAAUAUGGAAGGCACUCAGAGCAAUUCUAAUCGUGCCGAUUCAAAUGGACAACACUUUUAUUCGAUUUUUGUCCGUUUGGGUCGGCCGUCCGUUCGGCGAUUGUCCUAUUUAACAUUUGAGUCGGCAGUACGUCCAACUCUUGUGACCCAUAUUGCGUGCGUGGCCGGUUCGCCGCCUUUUUCCAACAAAUAUGCACACAUUUUGCAUUAUUUGACAAGCAUGCAUAUAAAAAAUAGCAUAGUUUUAUAACUAAAUAAAUCAUAGUUUUCAAAUAAAUAAGUAUGGUUUUACAAAUGAAAUAAAAAUUAAAUUGUCUCAAAUACAUAUGAAAAAAGAUAAAUCUAUUGGUUGCCAACAUGAGCCCAUAUAUGCUCAACCAAAUCAUUUUGCAUCUGCUUGUGAGUUUCCCAAUCACGCAUUUCACAACGAAAUCGGGCGAACUGUUCAAACAUUGCUGCUCCUCCAUGUUGAGGCACAAUAUUCUCAUAUUGAAACGGAAACCCUUAAUCAUAGAUACAUUCGAGACCCUCAUCUUCUAUGAUCAUAUUAUGCAUAAUCACACAAGUUGUCAUCACUUUUCAUGGUUUUUUGGUUACUCCAAGUCCUAGCAGGUUACCGAACGAUGCCCCUCGAGAUUGCAAAACACCAAAGGCACGCUCGACGUCCUUCCUAACACUCUCUUGCUUUUGGGCAAAUCUUUUCCUCUUCUCUCCGACAGGUUCAAGUAUUGUUUUUACAAUAGUGGUCCACUAAGGAUAGAUACCGUCACCUAGAUAGUAUCCUUUGUCGUAGUUGUGUCCGUUGAUGGUAACAUUUCCAGGUGGGUAGUUGCCUUCGCAAACCUUGUGAAUACCGACGAGCGUUGAAGCUCAUUGAUAUCAUUAUGUGAUCCGGCCAUACCGAAGAAAAAGUGCCACAUCCAGAGAUCUUGUGAGGCCACGACCUUAAGUAUGAUAGUGCAAGCCCUAACAUGGCCCUUAUACUUCCCUUGCUAAGCGGUAGGGCAGUUCUUCCACUCCCGGUGUGUGCAAUCUAUGUUGCCAAGCAUCCCUGGGAAGCCCCUGCUGGCAUUCAUGGCCAACAAGCGCACUGUAUCUUGAGGAGUCAGCUAUCUCUCUCGAGUAUCGUGAUUAUAUUGAAAACAUAGGAUAAACUAGGAACUAUUCUGGCUUGUCUUGUACUCCAAGUAGAUCAUGUAAUCAUAUAUAUAUGUCCAUGAGGCUCAAGCAAUAAACAACUAUUCCACCAAUCUCUUCUCUCCCUUCUAACAUGGUAUCUGCCGCAAGUUUCUAGACCUAGCCGCCGCUCGGCGCUUCUGCCCCUCACAACGUCCUCGGGGCGGUCAGCCUCCAUGACCGCCGUCGGGGGCCGCGCCACCCGUACCUAGGGUUCGUCCACCGGCCAUCUUGUCCGGAUGCCCUAGAGAGUCUUUUCCCAAUCUCUUGAUCCGGAUUUUUCUCUCUUUCGCCGGUCGCUUUGAUCGGCGUUUUAUUUUUUGGUUAAUAGAUCUAAGAUCGGGUUGCGUCACCCAUCGCCGUUGUCGACACGUGCGCGCGUUGAUAACCCACAAGUAUAGGGAUCGCAACAGUUUUUGAGGGUAGAGUAUUCAACCCAAAUUUAUUGAUUCGACUCAAGGGCAAGCGAAAGAAUAUUCUCAAGUAUUAGCAGUUGAGUUGUCAAAUCAACCACACCUGAAAGAUUUAGUGUCUGCAGCAAAGUAUCAGUAGCAAGGUAGUAUGAUAGCAGCAGUAGCAACAAUAACCAGUAGCAGCAAAGUAACAACAGUAGCAACAGAGUAAGAGUAGCAGCAGUGACAGCAGUAGAGGCAAAGUAACGUAGCAAGGACUAGUAGGAAAAACUCGUAGGCAUUGGAUCGAUGAUGGAUGAUUAUGACGGAUGUGAUUCAUCAUGUAACAGUUAUAACACAGAGAGAUAUGUAACUAGCUCCAGUUCGUCAAUCUAAUGUAGGCAUGUAUUCCGUAUGUAGUCAUACGUGCCUAGAGAAAAGAACUUGCAUGACAUCUAUUGUCCAUCCCUCCCGUGGCAGCGUGGUCCUAAUGGAAACUACGGGAUAUUAAGGUUCUCCUUUUAAUAAAGAACCGGACCAAUACAUUAACACUUGGUGAAUACAUGAACUCCUCAUACUAUGGUUAUCUCCGGGAGUGGUUCCGGCUAUUGUCACUCCGGGGUUGCCGGGUCAUAACACAUAGUAGGUGACUACAACUUGCAAGAUAGGAUCUAAAACAUACAUAUAUUGCGACAACAUAAUAGGUUCAGAUAUGAAAUCAUGGCACUCGGGCGCUAGUGACAAGCAUUAAGCAUGGCAAAGUAGUAGCAACAUCAAUUUCAGAACAUAGUGGAUACUAGGGAUCAAUCCCCGUCAAAACUAACUCGAUUACAUGAUAGAUCUUAUCCAACUCAUCACCGUCCAGCAAGCCUACGAUGAGAUUACUCACUAACGGUGAAGAGCAUCAUGGAAUUGGCGAUGAAGGAAGGUUGAUGAUGACGAUGGCGACAAUCUCCCCUCUCCGGAGCCCAGAACGGACUCCAGAUUUGCCCUCCAGAGGAAGAACAGGAGGUGGCGGCGUCUCCGUAUCGUAAAAUGCGAUGAACUCUUCUCCUUGAUUUUUUUCCGGACGAAAGAGGUUAUAUAGAGCUGGAAUUGGGGGCGGCGGAGCUCCGAGGGGCUCACAAGCCUGCCAGCCCCAGCCAGGGGGGUGGUGGGCUUGUGGGCUCCUGGCUCCGUCCCUCCAGUUGAUUCUUGCGCCAGUAUUUUUUAUAUAUUCCACAAAAAUUCCUCGUAGAUUUCCAGGUCAUUCUGAGAACUUUUAUUUUUGCGCAAAAACAACACCAUGGCAAUUCUGGUGAAAACAGCGUCAGUUCGGGUUAGUUCCAAUAAAAUCAUGCAAAUUAGAGUCCAAAACAAGGGCAAAAGAGUUCGGAAAAGUAGAUACGACGGAGACGUAUCAACUCCCCCAAGCUUAAAGCCUUGCUUGUCCUCAAGCAAUUCAGUUGACAAACUGAAAGAGACAAAAGAAAAAUUGUGACGAACUCUGUUUGAUCUUGUUGUUGCAACUAUGUCUAACUCAUAUCCAGAAUUUCAGCAAGAUCAUAAGCAAACCACAAAAGCAAAUGACAUCUAGGUCUCAUGGUAAACUCAUAUCAAUGGCAUAAUCAACUAGCGAGAAAAUAAUAAUAAGUCUCAAACGUCAACACUUCAAUCAAAACAAUCAUGAAGCAGUACGAAUAGAUGGUAUCUCGCUAGCUCUUUCUGAGACCGCAAAGCAUAAAUGCAGAGCACCUUCAAAGACCAAGGGCUGACUAAACAUUGUAAUUCAUGGCAAAGAAGAUCCAGUCACAGUCAUACUCAACACAGUUAAAAGCAAAGCAUAAAAAUGACAGAGGUGCUCUCUAAUUGGUGCUUUUAUAAGAAGAGGACGACUCAACAGGAACAUAAAUAGACAGGCCCUUCACAGAGGGAAGCAUUGAUUUGCAGAGGUGCUAGAGCUCAAGCUUUAAAAACAGAGAUAAUAAUUUUGGGUGUCAUGCUUUCAUUGUCAACGCAAUGACUAAGAGUUCUCACCAUCUUCCAUGCUACACAUGCUAUACGCGGUUCCCAAACAGAAAAGUGAAGUUUUGAUUCCACCACCACCAAUCAAUCACACUCCACGGCUAGCCGAAUCCUCGGGUACCGUCCAUACCAACAUCAAUCCAGGGGGAGUUUUGUUUACAAUUAUCUUUUCGAUUUGAGCAUGGAACUGGGAAUUCCAAUUACCGGCCUCUUUCUCGUGAAUGAUAGUGAAUAAACACAUAUCGAGGAUAACACGCCUAGCAUGGAAGAUACUGAUAGCCCCCUGUCAGCACAUGAGCAGUUCGGGCAAGAAAAACAGAUUACUUUUUGAGCGUUUAGAGAAUGGCACAUGCAAUGUGGACUCAUAUGGAACAACUAUGGGUUCAUGGGAGUGGAUGCACAAGCAGUAUUCCCGUUUAGUACAAGUGAAGGCUAGCAAAAGACUGGGAAGCGACCAACUAGAGAGCGACAACAGUCAUCAAAAUGCACUGAGAUUAACUAACAUUGAGUGCAAGCAUGAGUAGGACAUAAAUCACCAUGAACAUGAAUAUCAUAGAGGCUAUGUUGAUUUUGUUUCAACUACAUGCAUGAACAUGCGCCAAGUCAAGCCACUUGAAUCAUUCAAAGGAGGAUACCAUCCUAUCAUACUACAUCAUAGUCAUCUCAACAUUCAUGUGGGCAUCCAAGACAAACCAUUAUAAGCUCCUAGCUAAGUAAGCAUGGCAUCAACAACUACGAUCUCUAAGUUGUCAUUGCAAACAUGUUUGUUUCACAACAAAGCUGAAUCAGGAACGAUGAGCUAGUCAUAUUUACAAAAACAAAAUAGAUCGAGUUCAUACCAGCUUUUCCAGGCUAAGUCACUUCAUCAUAUAUCGUCAUUAUUGCCUUUCACUUGCAUGACCUAAUGAUGUGAACAAUAAUAAGAGUGCUCGUGCAUUGGACUAAGCUGGAAUCUGCAGGGAAACACAAAGGAGAAGACAAAGUAAUAUGGCUCUUUAACAGAUAAACAGAUAUGCAUGCGAGAGCCACUAAACAUUGUAAACAUGGUCUUCUACCUUGACCCAAAGAAAAAGAAAACUAUUUACAUGGGAAAGCUCCCAACAAGCAAAAGAAGAACAGGAGAAUCUUUUGGGUUUUCUCGAACUAGACAGACACACGAAAAGGAAAACAAGAAAAAUAAAUAAACUAGCAUGGAUGAUACAGUGGCAAAGUGUGAACACCGACGAACAAAGUGAAAGCAUAAGCAAGAAUGUAAAGUCGGUGAGAAACACGUACUCCCCCAAGCUUAGGCUUUUGGCCUAAGUUGGUCUACUCCCAUGGAUGGUCCGGGCGAUAUCCUAAAUCGUAAUGGGGGUUGUACGGGAGCGCUGCAACCACUGCCUGAUUAGCUGCCUCUCGGAGAUGAGCAUCCUUUGCCUCCCUCUCAUACUCCUCUGCCUCUCCUCUGGUUUUGUAAUAUCUUAGUUUUACCUGAAAGUCAAAGAAGGCAGGAGCAGGAAGGGUAAUAUGGAAAACACGCUGUCGGUUAAAUAUUAAACGGUAUAGGAGGGAUUCAUCAUCCCUCUCAAGGAACUGGUAGCAUGUCAGAGCGGUGCGGUCAAGGAAAGCUGUAUGGAGCGGGGGAUCUCCUUCGCGGAUGGGUACUCCAAGGAAAUUCGCUAUGUGAGUGGCAUAGAUCCCACCAAAGAAAUCCCCUUCAUUAGCAUUAUUAUUCAGCCUCCUUGCUAUUAUAGCUCCUAUGUUGAAGCUUCUAUCACCCGUUAUUGCGCUCUUAAGAAUACUAAGGUCUGGCGCGCAGAGAUGACAAUGAUCAAUCUUGCCGUUAAUGCAUCUGCCUAUGAAGAGGGCAAAGUAAUGCAAGGCAGGAAAAUGAAUGCUCCCCAUGGUAACCUGCGAAAUAUCUCUAGUUUCUCGCACAGUUAUACUAGAGAAAAAAUCUCUAACCGAAGAUUUAGGAAGAUCAUUGAGACAAAUUCUAUUGAAAUCCUGUAAAUCCAUGGUAUACGAUUUGUCAUAGAGAUCAAACAGUACAGAUGUAUCACGACCAACUGAAAAUUUGAAUCUAUGAACAAAAGAGGCAGUGAGCGUAACAUACUGUUCACAUUUAUCGGAUGAAUUCUUCGAGUCCGACGUUGUGAACAAGUGCAUCAAACUCGUCUUUGAAACCUGCCUCAAUCAUGAAUUCAUCAGAAGGCCAUUCACAUGGUUGUACCGGUGCGUUCCUCGGUUGGUAAGGAUCGGGCUGCCGAAUCGCAAGUCGGGGACCUCUCUUGCUUGGGGAACCACCAUGGUAGUUUCUCCUGAACAUCUUCCUUUUCUAAAAUUUUCAGUUACCCAAAGGAAAAGUGAACAAGGCUCAACUAAACUUGUAGCAACUACUCCCAAAAGUUCCUAGAGGCCAUAUUACGCAUCAAAACUACUGUGGACCAGCUAAAAUUAGCAUGCAAAGCUCAAGAACAUGGUCACCAAGGCAGCAAAAAUACGCAAAGUAUAAGGCACUAGAGCAAAAACUAAUUGGAUCAAUGGAGGAGUCACUUACCAAGGAGUAAUUUCCCCAAAACAGUUCGCAGAAUGGUGCUUUGAGCAAGGAGAUUGAAAAUCCCAGCAAGAGGAGCAAGAACACGUGUUUGAGCUGCGAAACAAUUUUUUCUGGAGGUAGGAGAAGUGGAUGAGAGCUAGAAUAAGUGGAGGGGGUGCCUGUGGGCCCCACAAGCUUGCCAGCCCCGGCCAGGGGGUGGCCGGGCCUCCUGGGCUUGUGGCCCGCUGGCGUAUCUCCCAGACUAGCUUUUCGUCUCGGUAUUUUUCAAAAAUUCCAGAAAAAAUCAUACUUGAUUUUCAGGACGUUCGGAGAACUUUUAUUUUCGGGGUACUUUUCUAUGUGAUGCUAAAACAGAAAACAGGGAAAACUAAACUAAACCUAUCAUUUUUCUUCUAAGCAACCGGAGGUGAAAGCUUGGAACAGAGGUUUGUGACUCCUUGAUUCAUCCAUCUCAUGGUCAUCAAAAGAAAUCCGUCAAUGAGGUUGAUCAAGUCUCCUCGACAAACCUUUUCGAAUCGCAAAAGAGAACGGAGAAUUUUCGAAUAGUCACUAGGUCACCUCAAUGGGGAUGUGUAUCUCCCCAACAAGCACAUCAUACUUCAUUUUGACAGGAGGUAUAGGGCAUUCAAAGCUCCCAAUAAGAAUCGAUGAAAUUCUUUCGAUAGCAUUGAUGCAAUGUACUCAAUAUUGUUUCUUCGGAAAGUGCACCGUAUGAUCAUUAUCGUUGACAUGGAAAGUGACAUUGCCUUUGUCGCAAUCUAUAACAACCCCUGCUGUGUUAAGAAAGGGUCUUCCAAGGAUGACCGCCAUGGCAUCGUCCUCAGGAAUAUCCAAGAUAACAAAGUCCGUUAAGAUAGUUAUGUUAGCAACCACAAUAGGCACAUCCUCGCAAAUGCCGAUAGGAAUAGAAGUUGAUUUGUCGGCCAUUUGCAGAGAGCUUUUAGUGGGUGUCAACUUAUCCAGUUCAAGUCUACGAUAAAGAGAGAGAGAGAGAGGCAUGACACUAACACCAGCUCCAAGGUCGCACAAAGCAGUUCUAACGUAGUUUCCUUUAAUGGAGCAAGGUACAGUGGGCACUCCGGGAUCACCUAGUUUCUUAGGAGUUCCACCUUUGAAGGUAUAAUUAGCAAGCAUGGUGGAAAGCUCAACCUCACGUAUCCUCCUCUUAUUAGUCACAAUAUCUUUCAUGUACUUAGCAUACGGAGACAUUUUGAGCAUAUCUGUCAAACACAUUUGCAGAAAGACAGGUCUAAUCAUUUCAACAAAUCAUUCAAAAUCCUCAUCAUCCUUUUUCUUGGAUGGUUUGGGAGGAAAGGGCAUGGGUUUUUGAACCCAUGGUUCCUUUUCUUUACCAUGCUUCCUAGCAGCGAAGUCAUUCUUAUCGUAUCUCCUAGCCUUAGGCUGUGGGUUAUUAAGAUCAACAGGUUCAAUCUCCACAUCCUUAUCACUGCUAGGUUGAGCAUCAACAUGAACAUNNNNNNNNNNNNNNNNNNNNNNNNNNNNNNNNNNNNNNNNNNNNNNNNNNNNNNNNNNNNNNNNNNNNNNNNNNNNNNNNNNNNNNNNNNNNNNNNNNNNGCAUUAGAAGCAGGCACAUCAAAUUUCGGUUUAAUCGGACAUCUUUUGAAUUUAAUAUAAAUUUACGAAGAUAAAUUAUAGAAAUUAAAACCCAAUUGAAGCCGCCCUAGAUCGUCAUACUGGGUCGAGACAUCAUGUGCGUGGCGAGCACGUAGUCGCCGCAUCGUACGUGGCCAAAGGCACUAACCGCCAUGCACAGCGAAGAGUUUUUUAAAUUAGUAUUUCUGCCAUUUUUGACGAUAAAAUCCUAAAAAAUUCAUUGAACGUGACACAUCUUUGAAACCUGGCACCGAUGCUUAACACUGAUUGUGCUACUUGCAGAAAAAAUUAGGACCGUUUCGUAAAGUUUGAAAACAAAUCUAUGCAAAAGGAGACCCAUCGGUGUGUAUGUAACACGAUAAGUUUGGACAUGAAAUACGUGCGUACAAUCAUGAAAUUACCCAACUUUUGCGAGGAGGUGGGUAUGGUCACGGGAGCACCCCACGGGAAAUAUGAACAAAAUACGACACCAAACACAAGUUGCGUCACGUCUGGGCAGUAUUUCGGCCAUUUUCGUAAGAUAAAAUACCUAGAAAAAUUCAUCGAACAUGAGACGUGUUUGAAACCUUGCACUGAUGCUUAACACUCAUUGUGCUAUUUGUUGGAAAAAAAUGGGACCGUUUCGUGAAGUUUGAAAACGAANNNNNNNNNNNNNNNNNNNNNNNNNNNNNNNNNNNNNNNNNNNNNNNNNNNNNNNNNNNNNNNNNNNNNNNNNNNNNNNNNNNNNNNNNNNNNNNNNNNNCAACGAGCUGCGCUCGUGGGUCAGAGCAGGAGGACGUGGAGUAGACGCAUUUUGUGAAUAGUCGAGUUGAGAGCUAGGAGUGAAGUGUUUGAGGUCGGUAGGCAGCCCUGUAUACGAUGAUAGGGCCCUAAUGUAACAAAUUUAUAUAUUUUCAUUUUUUAUUUUUUAUAAAGCUAUGGUACGCGAUACUUAAAAAAACUCUUUCACAGCAAAAAAAAAAGUAGUAAAGACUGACGAAAAAACGUAUCCGCUGCCCAUCUUGGAGGGAGUACCCUGUGCGCGCAUCCGCUGCCCAUUUCCCCCCUAGUCUCGGCAAGGCGAGAGCGAAGACUGACGCCGGCCGCAGCCGCCGGCGAGGGGAAGACCAUGGAGCGGCAGCAUCCGGCGGCGCCCUUGCUCCCCGUCCUCCUCCUCCUCGCUCUGCUCUCGCCGGCCGCCCGCGGCUCGGAGUCGCCGCAGUACGCGACGGUGCACGUGGAGUCGGACUUCGAGGUGCGGCACUACCGCGACACCGUUUGGAUGUCCNNN